rnacentral:rRNA from 1 species
CCUACGGGGGGCAGCAGUGGGGGAUAUUGGACAAUGGGGGGAACCCGGAUCCAGCGACGCCGCGUGAGUGAAGAAGUAUUUCGGUAUGUAAAGCUCUGUCAGCAGGGAAGAAAGCAAUGACGGUACCUGACCAAGAAGCCCCGGCUAACUACGUGCCAGCAGCCGCGGUAAUACGUAGGGGGCAAGCGUUAUCCGGAAUUACUGGGUGUAAAGGGAGCGUAGACGGCUGUGCAAGUCUGGAGUGAAAGGCGGGGGCCCAACCCCCGGACUGCUCUGGAAACUGUAUGGCUGGAGUGCAGGGGAGGUAAGCGGAAUUCCUAGUGGAGCGGUGAAAUGCGUAGAUAUUAGGAGGAACACCAGUGGCGAAGGCGGCUUACUGGACUGUAACUGACGUUGAGGCUCGAAAGCGUGGGGAGCAAACAGGAUUAGAUACCCGGGUAGUC